rnacentral:tRNA from 1 species
GCCCCGAUAGUGUAGACCGGCCAAUCAUUGCGGCCUUUCGAGUCGCAGACUCGGGUUCAAAUCCCGGUCGGGGCACCA